UACAGAGGUCUCAACCGUUGUUCGGAUUCAUUGGGCGUAAAGGGUGCGUAGGCGGUCGUGCAAGUCGGAUGUGAAAUCUCAGGGCUCAACCCUGAAACUGCAUUCGAUACUGCGCGGCUAGAGUACUGGAGGGGAGACUGGAAUUUACGGUGUAGCAGUGAAAUGCGUAGAUAUCGUAAGGAAGACCAGUGGCGAAGGCGAGUCUCUGGACAGCAACUGACGCUGAGGCACGAAGGCCAGGGGAGCAAACGGG
rnacentral:rRNA from 1 species